GGCCCGUUCGUCUAGGGGUUAGGACGCGUCCUUUCACGGAUGAAACAGGGGUUCGAUUCCCCUACGGGCUACCA
rnacentral:tRNA from 1 species